AGCGAAUAAAUGCUCAGAAAGGCGUUUUGUUUCAAGAGGAUCAGAUUUUGGACUGGUUUGUACAGAUAUGUUUGGCCCUGAAACAUGUACAUGAUAGAAAAAUUCUUCAUCGAGACAUUAAAUCUCAGAACAUAUUUUUAACUAAAGAUGGAACAGUACAACUUGGAGAUUUUGGAAUUGCUAGAGUUCUUAAUAGUACUGUAGAGCUGGCUCGAACUUGCAUAGGGACCCCAUACUACUUGUCACCUGAAAUCUGUGAAAACAAACCUUACAAUAAUAAAAGUGACAUUUGGGCUCUGGGGUGUGUCCUUUAUGAGCUGUGUACACUUAAACAUGCUUUUGAAGCUGGCAGUAUGAAAAACCUGGUACUGAAGAUAAUAUCUGGAUCUUUUCCACCUGUGUCUUUGCAUUAUUCCUAUGAUCUCCGCAGUUUGGUGUCUCAGUUAUUUAAAAGAAAUCCUAGGGAUAGACCAUCAGUCAACUCCAUAUUGGAGAAAGGUUUUAUAGCCAAACGCAUUGAAAAGUUUCUCUCUCCUCAGCUUAUUGCAGAAGAAUUUUGUCUAAAAACAUUUUCGAAGUUUGGAUCACAGCCUAUACCAGCUAAAAGACCAGCUUCAGGACAAAACUCGAUUUCUGUUAUGCCUGCUCAGAAAAUUACAAAGCCUGCCGCUAAAUAUGGAAUACCUUUAGCAUAUAAGAAAUAUGGAGAUAAAAAAUUACACGAAAAGAAACCACUGCAAAAACAUAAACAGGCCCAUCAAACUCCAGAGAAGAGAGUGAAUACUGGAGAAGAAAGGAGGAAAAUAUCUGAGGAAGCAGCAAGAAAGAGAAGGCUGGAAUUUAUUGAAAAAGAAAAGAAACAAAAGGAUCAGAUUAUUAGUUUAAUGAAGGCUGAACAAAUGAAAAGGCAAGAAAAGGAAAGGUUGGAAAGAAUAAAUAGGGCCAGGGAACAAGGAUGGAGAAAUGUGCUAAGUGCUGGUGGAAGUGGUGAAGUAAAGGCUCCUUUUCUGGGCAGUGGAGGGACUAUAGCUCCAUCAUCUUUUUCUUCUCGAGGACAGUAUGAACAUUACCAUGCCAUUUUUGACCAAAUGCAGCAACAAAGAGCAGAAGAUAAUGAAGCUAAAUGGAAAAGAGAAAUAUAUGGUCGAGGUCUUCCAGAAAGAGGAAUUCUGCCUGGAGUUCGUCCAGGAUUUCCUUAUGGGGCUGCAGGUCAUCACCAUUUUCCUGAUGCUGAUGAUAUUAGAAAAACUUUGAAAAGAUUGAAGGCGGUGUCUAAACAAGCCAAUGCAAACAGGUUGGACUGUGAUGAUCCAUGAAUUCAUCCAUGUGUGUAAUUUUGUCGUUUGUCAUACAUAGCUUAGUACCUACACUUUGUGGAUGUUUUCUCCAUUGUUCACAUAUGAUGUUUUUUGCCUCUUGGGUACAAUAAUUUUCUGAGGUGCAAAUUUGGCCCUUGAUUACUCUGAAAGCAUGUAGCUUUCCAGUUCAGCCUGAUUUUUGUGUCUUGUUUGUGGGUUUAGACUGAAUAUACUAUUUAAAGGAACAUGUGAUAACAUUCUGCCAACAUAAUUAUAACAUUUUAUCACCCACUUCCUUUAAAUAAAUCAGGAUAUAAAUCUAAAUUGAAUCACACUUUAUGCAGAACCCCAGUGCAUUUUUCGCCCUUUUCUUCAUCACUUCAAAGCCUACUUUUCUCUUUGUUGUCUUAGCAUGCUUUCUCUUCACCUUCAUCUCUGAUUUAUAACUCUUUGUGAUCCUGUUCAUCAUAUUAUUUCUUUUCUUCCAUUGAAUUAAUAAUGGUAACUGAUUAAUAUGUACUUGAGCAGAGAUAAAUGAUUGAGGUAAAUAUAAAUUAACGUUUAUAUACACAUUAUAAAUUAUAUACAGAAGCCUGAUAUAUGAAGCAUCUAUUUUUUGAGAAAGGAAGGUUACAGACUUACACAUAUGCAUAUUUUUUAUGAAUAGUGAGACAAAUUUUGUGGGAGGCUUUUAUUCUCCAGAAUUAUUGAUCUUUCUAGUAUAUAUAUUGUUUAAUUAGUAAACUUUAUUUUUAGAGCGAUUUGGGGUUCACAGCAAAAUGGAGUGGAAAGUACAGAGAGUUCCUAUGUACCCCUUCCUCACACAUGCACAACCUCUGUAUUGACAUCCUCAUUUGAGUGAUAACGUUUGUUAUGAUCAAACAUCGAUCCAUUAUCACCCAAAGUCCAUAGUUUACAUUAGAGUUUACUCUUGGUAUUGUACACUCCAUGGCUUUUGACGAAUGUAUAAUUAUAGGUAUCCACCACUGUAAUAUCAUACAAAAUAAUGUGACUGCCUUCAAAAUCCCCUGUGCUCCACCUCCCUCCAACCUCCCUCCCAACUCUUGGCAACCACUGGUUGCUUUACUGCCUUCAUAGUUUUAGCUUUUCUAGAAUAUCAUAUACUUGGAAUCAUAUAGUAUGUGGCCUUUCACACUGGCUUUUCUCACUUACUAAUAUGCAUUUAAGGUGCCUCCGUAUAUCUUCAUAGUUUCAUACCUUAUUUCUUCUUAACACUAAUAUCCCAUUGUAUUUAUGUAGCAUACUUUUUUUUUUUUUUUUUGGUAAUUUUUUUUUUUGAGACAGGUUCUUGUUCUAUCCCCAGGCUGGAGUGCAAUGGCAUGAUCAUGGCUCACUUGCAGCCUUGACCUCUGGGGCUUAAGUGACCCUCCCACCUCAGCCUCCUGAACAGCUGGGACUACAGGUGCUUGCCACCAUGUGUGGCUGAUUUUUUAAAUUUUUUGUAGAAUGGAGUCUUGCUAUGUUGCCCAGGCUGGUCUUGAACUCCUGGGUUCAAGCAGUCCUCCUGCACUGGCCUCCCAAAGUGCUGGGAUUACAAGCAUGAGCCACCAUGCCCAGCCAGAAUGGAUGUACUACACUUUAUCCAUUAUUCUACUGAAGGACAUCUUGGUUGCUUUUAAGUUAUGGCAAUUAUGAAUAAAGCUUCUACAAAC
rnacentral:lncRNA from 1 species